AGAUUUUUUGUUGUACUCAUUAAUGACAUUCUGAUCUAUUCAUGAGAUAAAUCUGAGCAUACCGAACACUUGAAAAUUGUGUUACAAACUCUAUGUGAUAAGCAGUUAUUUUCAAAGUUUAGUAAAUGUGAGUUUUGGCUCAAAUAGGUUGGAUUUCUGGGGCAUAUUGUUUCAGCUGAUGGUAUUAGAGUUAAUCCGAGCAAGAUUUUUUCUAAUGUGGAUUGGAAACCUCUAAGAAAUGUAUCUAAAGUCCAUAGUUUUCUGGGCUUAACGGGUUAUUACUGAAGAUUCGUGAAAGGAUUCUCGAUGAUUGCGACACCAAUGAUACGACUGUUACAAAAUGAUGUGAAGUUCAAUUGGUCAGAAAAAUGUUAGCAGAGUUUUGAACAGUUGAAAGUACUGUUAACUAAAGCACCAGUAUUGGUUCAACCGGAAUCGGGGAAAGAAUUUGUGAUUUAUAGCGACGCGUCAUUAAAUGGUCUGGGAUGUGUUCUGAUGCAAGAGGGAAAAUUUAUAGCUUAUGCUUCUCCACAGUUGAAACCGCAUGAAAAGAAUUAUCCAACACAUGACUUAGAGUUGACUGCAAUUGUGUUUGCAUUGAAAAUAUGGCGACACUACGGGGAAAAAUGUCACAUUUAUACGGAUCACAAGAGCUUUAAAUAUCUGAUGACAUAGAAAGAUUUGAAUUUGCGACAACGAGGAUGGCUCAAGUUAUUGAAAGAUUAUGACUUUGUGAUUGAUAAUCACCCGAGAAAAGCUAAUGUUGUUGCUGAUGCACUGAGUCAAAAAUAUUUGUUUGCAUUACGAGCAAUGAACAUCCAGUUGAUGAUUUGUGAUGAUGGGUCUAUUUUAGCCAAAUUAAAUGCUAAACCAGCAUUUCUUCAACAAAUCUGUGAAGCUAAAAAAGAUGACCGUGAAUUGCAAGCUAAACGAAUUCAAUGUGAGUCUAUUUCUAAUUCAGAAUUUCAUAUUGGAACUGAUGACUAUUUAAUGUUUCAAAAAAAAGUUUGUGUACCAAAAAUAUAGAGCUUGCUCAGAAAAUCCUGCAUGAAGCACACAGUAGUCACUUUUCUGUUCAUCCAAGUAGUACUAAUGUAACAGCCCAUUUUUAGGUCAAAUCAAAACAAUGAUUUUGGGACCAAAAAUAUGAAGUAAAAAUAAUUAUUUUAUUAUUUUAAGAAGGUUUACGACAUGAUAUAGUAUUUAUGUGAAAGUUUCAUAAAGAAAUUUUACCGUUUAAAUGCUCAAUUCGGUAAAAAGGACUAAAUCGCGUAACGCGUAAAAGUUGAAUACUAUUGUUUAAAGGUAUUAAAUAGCUAUGGUUUAUUAUAAUGGGAGUCCUUAUAAUGUUAUUUGACCUUAAAUUAAGUUAACAGACAUUAAUGUCCAUGAAUCUCAUGUUAUAAUAAGUAUUUAUAAGGUUAUUUUGGUAAUUGGAUUAACAAAGUUUAAUUUGAUAAAACAAAAUACAUUUUAUUUCUUCAUUCAUCUUCUCCACCAAAUCUAGGGAAUGAGAAUAGCCAUUUUCAAGCUUCAAACCUUUGGUCACUUUACCUUGAGCAUCUAAGUCCGUUUUAGCUCGAUUUUUAAUGAUUUCUACUUUUUUAAGCUCGUUGUAGCUUAAUUUAGCUAGCCCGUACCUUCAUUUUUGAAACUGUCAUAGAUUUUGAAAAAUACCAUUGUUGAAUAUUUGAGUUCUUUGUUAUUAAAUAUAGAUUUUGGAGGUUUGAUAAUAGUUUUACUAGUUUUGUAAAGUGAUUUUUGAAAAAAAUGCAAAAUGGGUACUAAAUUGUGAAAUUGUAAAAUGUAGUAGUUAAAAGUAUGAAACAAUGAAAUUUUUGGCUGCUAGUAGUAUACAGGAAAUUUGGCUACCAUGGAUUAUAGCCUAAUUGUGUAAAUUUACCAUUUAGUGUUUAAAGGACUAAAUUGCAAAGUAGUCAAAAGUUAUGGGUAAAUUUGUAAUUUGGUCAAAAAUGAAUGUUUUAGGCUAAGUUGAAUUGAAUGAAAUUUUUGAAUGAGUUAAUUUGAUAUUAUAUAGAUCAAGAUAAGCAAAUACCGGAAUUAGAUCGGGGGAAACGAAAGGUACAUGACUAGUUGACAAUCAUCCUAGCAACUCGAAGUAAAUUCGUAUAAUUAGAAUUGAACUAUAUUAUACUUGCAAUCGUUGAAUUUAAUGUUUAUAAUUGAAUUACUUGAUGAUAUAUCGAAUGUGUUAUGAGCUUUAGUUGAACUAUAAGAAUUUAUUGGAUACGAGUGACAUGUUACUGUACUUUCUGAAAUGGUCGAGCUCCUGCAUUUGUUGCGGACUCACCAUAGCUUGUAAGAGCUUCCUGUUCAGCUCAAUAGAGCUUCCCGUUUUUAGCUCAUGAUAAGUGUACUGACCAUGUCUCGAAAGAGCAUGUAUGAUGAUGAAUUGACGGAUUAUUGACAAUGUUCACUUGAUUAUCCUUUGAAGUUUUAAUAGAUUCAAUGAGCCUAAAUAAUGUUAUAUGAAUAAGAUAUGGUUUAAGUCUUAGUUGAAUGACUAACAUGUGAUGAUUAUGUGUAAACAGGUGAUGGAUUUAUAUUGAAUUGUUGGCUUGUUUAUUAUUGCAUUCCAUUUCUUUAAAUGGUAAGUUUAAUUCUGAAUUGUACGAGCUUAGUAAGCUUAGAAGCUUACUCUGUUCCUGUUUCUGUCUUACAGAGGUUCGUUAGCUCGCUCGUUCUGGAAAAGUCAGAGUUGCCUCACACUAUCCAAAUUUUUGUUUGGUAUUUUGAACCUAUGAACCUCUGUAAAGAUGGCAUGUAUAGGCUAGUUUGAUAGCAUAAGUUAUGUUUUGGAACCAUGUUUCGAGUAAAAAUUGUAUAUAAGUUAAUCCAUGUGAUUUGGCUUAAUUGUUACUAUGUUUUGGUUAUAUAUAUGUGUUUGAUCAUGGUAUGUUUUAGUAUGAUAACAUAUGAAUGAGAUUAUGCAAAUGUAGUCUUGAUUUAGGAGGCUAAGAUGAAUUGUAUAUGAUGUUAUAUAGGUAUAUGGACAUGUAAAUAGUAAGUUUAGAUAUGGCUUAUAAUGUGUAUUGAAUUGGUUCAUUUGGUUGCAAAUAAAAUUGUUCAUAUGGGGUCAAAUUUGAAUGUAUUUGUUUGUGUUUUAGGGUGGCAAAUUUUGUUACUCAAAUCACUUAUUUUUGUCAACACAAGUAGAGACACGAGCAUGUGUCUCAGUCAUGUGCGAUAGACGGACAUUUUACACGGCCGUUUGUCCCUUGGAAUACCCAACGAAUCAAGGUCAAUAUACCCUCCAGUUUUGACACGGCCUAGACACACAAGUGUGUGGUCGGCCGUGUGGCCAAGUCAGUAGCUUCCUUAAUUUCCACACGGCCUAGCGCACGAACGUAUCUUGUAGCCUUGUGGACAAGUCAGUAUGUAUGCUUUGUUUUGCCACAGCUUAGACACACGAGUGUGUCUAAGGCCGUGUGAUGCACACGACCAGUUCACACGGGCGUAUGAGUUUUUAAAAGUUGAAAAUAUUCUAAGUUUUUGAAACUUUUAUAUGUUAUCAAUUUAAUCCCAAAUGUAUGUUUUAAGUUUAAUAUGCUCGAUUUUAAGUUCAUAAUGAGUAUGAAUGGAUGACUUCUAUAGUUAUGAGAUGAUAUUUGAUAUGUAAUUGUUUUGAAUGGAAUGACAAGUUCAAUAAUGCCUCUUAACCUGUUCUGAAGACGGUUACAGGUUAGGGGUGUUAUAUUUUAUUGGUAUCAGAGCUACGAUUUAGUCGAUUCUAGGACUACCGUAGUGUAUUUGAGUCUAGCUAUACAUAAAACUGUGAUAGUGUGAUGACUCCUGACGUUCUUGAAUGUGUUUUUAUAUAGUAAUGGAUCCUGAACGAGCCAUAGCAGACGAUGUAGAAAGUAACGCGCCAGCUCCCGCUUAAGGAGUAGCACCUACAGAAUUUAGACCUGUGAUGUGUAGUCACAGCGGUGAGGCUAAAGAAGCCUUCUUUCAAAUAUUAAAUGAGUGGUUCACACAUUAUAUACAUAUGAACCAAAUUUUCCACAACCUCCACCCCCACCUGUUCCCCAACCAAUUCUAGUAAUUCCUUAAGGUACCAAUUUUCUACGUUUAAAUAAACCACCUGUUGAUAGAAUACAGAAAUAUGGGGCUGAAGAUUUUAGAGCUACUGUUAAUGAUAACCCUAAAAAGGCUUAAUUUUGGCUCGAGAACACGAUUCAUGUAUUUGGUGAAUUGUCAUGCACAUCCGAAGAACGUAUGAAGUGUGUGGUAUCGUUGUUCGGAGAUACUGCGUAUCAGUGGUGGAAUACCUUGAUAUCCAUAGUUCCACCAGAACGAGUCACGGGAUUUCCUCCAAGCUGAAUUUAGAAAGAAAUACAUUAGCCAAAGAUUCAUCGACCAGAAGAGAAAAUAAUUUCUUGAAUUGAAGCAGGGCCAUAUGUCAAUUACAGAAUAUGAACGAGAGUUUGUACGACUCAGUAAAUAUGCUCGUGAAUGUGUAUCGUCUAAAGCUAUUAUGUGUAAACGAUUCGAGGAUUAAUUAAAUGAAGAAAUCAAAGUGUUGGUGGGAAUUCUUGAGCUAAAAGAGUUUGUUGUUCUGGUUAAUCGAGCCAGUAAGGUCGAAGAUCUAGGUAAAGAGAAAAGAAAGCUAACCUUGAGUUUUGAGAGUCUAGAGAAAUAUUUAUAGGUAAAUCACAUCAAUCAAUAUCAAAGAAAUUUAAAGAAAAUCACCCUCGUUUUACAGCUUCUGUGGGAAUUUCUAUCAAAGAUAGAAAUACGAGACAAUCAGAUUCAAAGGCUCAGGCAACAUCUGUGGCUAGUGUAGGAAGUGUUAGAAAUGUUGCAUUUGAAUGUAAACAUUGUAAUAAGCGACAUUUCAAGGAAUACAGUUUAGUGAGCGGAGCUUGUUUUAAAUGUGGAUCUAUGGUUCAUUUUCUCCGUGAUUGUCCAGAAAAGUUCACAACUGAAAGAGAACAACUAGUGAAAAUAAGUAAUACGGCUCCCAGAGGGAGACCACUAAGAAACACUAAAAAUGCGAGUGGUAAUCAAAGUGCUACGAGAAAUUCUACUGUGAGAUUCGAGGCAAAGGCACCUGCCAAAUCGUAUGUUAUACAUGCACGAGAGGAAGCAUCAUCACCAGACAUUAUCACGGUACUUGAUAAACCAUAAAUUAUACAUAUUUUUACUCCAUGUUUAAUGCCUUUUAUGGAUGAUUUCUCAUUAGAAUUAGCGAAUUCGAUGCUCCUAAUGCUUUAAUUUCAUGUUUUAUACUUAGGAGAGCAUAGGAGAGUGAAAGGAACGAGAAACGGGCUAAAAAUAGAGAAAAUAGGCCAAAGUACGAAAUCAACACGGCCUGGACCUCCUCACAUGGGCAGACUACAUGACUGUGUCAAUUUGGCAGGCUCGAACACGGCCUAAAGUAAUUGAACAUGGACGUGUGCCACAGGAAUGUCCCUGCCGAGCCCAAGUUAAGUGCAAUUUGGAAAAGGCCAAUUUUGAGAGUUUCUAGGCAUUCCAAAGCCUAUAAAUACGCACUAGAAGAGGGGGAAAAGGGGGACAGAGAAGAGGGGUAAGGAAUUACUCUAAGGAAGCCGAUUGAUCCAUCUCAGAAGCCAGAUUCAUCAUCAAGACUAAAGAUCUCUCCUCAAUUUCCCUUCAGGAGUUUUGGGUUUUCUUUAUGUUUUGUAUUCUUUAUUCUUCUGAGAUGUUUUCUUAUUUAGUUAUGAACUAAAUCCCUUAAAUACCUAAGGGGAAUGAAACCUAAGACAAAUCUUGUUAUUAUUUUCUGAAUCGUAUGAUAAAUAUUUAACUUAUUCUUAAUUAUGUGUUCUUAAUUCUUGUUUUGAUAUCCAAGGAUACUAAUUCAAGACACACUCUUAUUCAGAGGAGGAAUAGACCCUGUCUAAGAGUACAUUUUCCAUAACUAAGCGGAGUUAAUUGCGCACUUAGAAAUAGGGUGACAAGAUUCUGCCGGGUUAGGGUGAAACCUAAUAAGGGGAUCCAUAGAUUGAGUUAAUGCAACCCCAGAGUGUUAAUUAGAGAAAGUCUCGGUUAUUCAAUCUAGGGAUUAGACGUUAUUAGUCUUGAAUAGGGAUAAUAACGUAACUUAGGGAUCUCUAAAGAAUAAGUUGAAUGAAUAAAUCGCCCGAUUCGGAGCCAGAAUAACAAGUAAAGUCUAGGUGGAUUUUUCCUUAGGUAUUGUCUCAAGUCAAUCAAUUUUCCCAAAAGCAAUUCCCUAAUUCUUUUCUCUGUGUGUUCUUAGUUUAAAUAAUUAGUUAAUUAAAACAAACCCCUUUUAUUCUUAUGCUGGAUAAUAAAAAGAUAGUUAUUACUAGUACUUUUGGUUCCCUUGGGUACGAUUUCCCAGUCUUGCCGUUACUAUACUAUUAUUCGAUAGGUGCGCUUGCCUUUUCAUCAUGAUAAUAGUUAGUCUAGGUCUGAUCUUCAUUAUAAAUUUUUAUUACUUGUUACGAAUCACUGCGAUCAAGUUUUUGGUGCCGUUGCCGGGGAACUGAAAUAUUAGGAACACUAAAUUUUUAUUACUUUAGCCAUUUAUUUUUCUUGCAAUUUAAUUUAAUUUAAUUUAAUUUUACUAUUUAUUAAUUUAAUUUUUCUUUCUCUUGACAGGUUUUUAUAGUUUAUGACUAGAAGAAACCCGUCAAGACCAUUACUCUUUGACGAAGAAAUCGAUCGUACAAUUCACAAAAAUCAAAGAGAAAUAAGGCAAAGUUUACGCUACAUAGAAAACGAAGAAGAAGACAAUACUCAACCUCCAAAUGACGAAAUGGCUGAAAACCAAGACAAUUAGCUGCCUCCUGCAAUUGCAGCUAAUCAAAAUCCUGCUCCACGUACUAUGUAUGACUAUGCUAAACCCUCUUUAAUAGGAACUAAAUCAAGUAUAGUUAGACCUGCUAUUGCUGCAAAUAAUUUUGAACUAAAACCUAACACUAUUCAGAUGAUAUAGCAGUUUGUUUAGUUUGAUGGUUUGCAGAAUGAAGAUCCCAACACUCACUUAGUAAAUUUCCUGGAAUUUUGUGAUACAUUCAAAAUCAAUGGCGUUUCUGAUGAUGCCAUCGUCUUCGGUUAUUUCCCUUUUCAGUGAGAAACAAAGCUAAACAGUGGUUAAACUCGUUACCACAUGGGUCUAUCACUACUUGGGAGCAAAUGACCAAGAAAUUUUUACUAAAAUAUUUUCCGCCGGCUAAAAUGACUAAAUUACGCAAUGAUAUCUCUUCUUUUGUGCAGAUGGACUUAGAAACACUUUACGAUGCAUGGGAGAGAUACAAGGAUCUAUUGAGAAGGUGCCCUCACCAUGGGUUACCUCUAUGGUUGUAAGUUCAAACGUUCUACAAUGGUGUGAAUCCCUUGACAAGAAAAUUGAUUGAUGCAGCUACUGGCGGAACCAUAAAUAAAAAAACACUGAAAGAUGCCUACGAAUUCAUAGAGGAGAUGUCACUGAACAACUAUCAGUGGCAAGUCAUGAGGACUAAGCCAACAAAAACAGCCAGAGUUUAUAACAUCGAUUCAGUCACCAUGCUCUCUAAUCAGGUAGAACUUCUCAAUAAAAAGAUUGAUAGUUUUCUUGGUUCUACGUAGGUACAUCCAGUAAUAAGGUGUGACUCAAGCGGAAGAGGUAUGCAUACAGAAUACCAAUCCUUCAAUCCUACAACUGAAGAGAACAAGUCAACUAUAUGGGUAACAAAAACUUUCGAUCUCAAAAUAACCCAUACAGUAAUACCUAUAAUGCAGGUUGAAGGAACCACCCAAAUUUUUCCUGGGGAGGUCAAGGGAAUCAAAAGCCACAAAAUCCUCAGGGUUUUCAACAGCCACCUUAUCAACAAGAGAAGAAGCAGAACCUUGAAGAGAUGCUUUCAAAAUUCAUCUCAAUGUCAGAAACCUGUUUCCAAAAUACCGAGAUAACACUUAAGAAUCAACAAGCAUUGAUCCAAGGACUCGAAACUCAAAUAGGCCAGCUAUCCAAACUAAUCUCCGAGCGACCACAAGGUAGCUUACCAAGUAAUACGGAACCUAAUCUGAGGGAACAACUCAAUGCAAUUAGUGCCCAAGUUAAGGAAGGAUUCAUUGCACCUGAGCCAGAAUUACAGCAAGACAACGUGAUGAACAAAGGUCGAGAAGAGGUAAACGAUGAUGAUCCUGAAUAGGUAAGUACGAAUUAUGAACCUCGUGUGCCAUAUCCUAAAGCGAUGAUGAAAGACAGAACAAAAGAACAAUUCGGUAAGUUUGUCAAACUCUUAAAGAAAUUACAUAUUAACUUACCCUUUAUUGAAGUUCUUUCACAGAUGGCCAACUCAACAAAAUUCUUAAAGGAACUUCUGGCUAAUAACAGGAAAUUAGACACUACAUCGCAUGUGGAACUCAAUGCAGUCUGCUCAUCUAUUCUGAAGAAUAAGCUACCUAACAAAUUGAAAGAUCCAGGGAGUUUUACAAUUCCUUGCUUAAUUGGUAGUCUAUCUGUGAAUAAUGCUUUAGUUGAUCUAGGGGCAAGUAUAAAUGUUAUGCCAUAUAAAAUGUUUAAACGACUAGGUCUCGGUAAACCCAAACAGACUAGGAUGAGCAUACAAUUGGCUGACAAAACAGUUAGAUUUCCUAAGGGUAUUAUUGAAGAUGUUCUCGUUAAAAUUGAUAAAUUUAUUUACCAGUAGACUUUGUCGUCUUAUAUAUGGAUGAGGAUAACGAGGUACCUUUAAUUUUAGGACGAUCCUUUUUAGCAACUACCAAGACCAUUAUUAAUGUAGGCACAGGGGAGCUAACACUUUGUGCAGGUGACGACGCAGUAACACUCCAAGCACGUGACUCAGUCGAAACCCCUAAGACUCAGGAUAAUGCUAUAAAACCUGUCGAUGAUAAAACUAAUAUUCAAUCAUCCUUGCAGGAACCUUCUCAAACCAAGACAAGAGAGACAGUGCGCUACUAUCAUGAAAAGAACAAAAACGUCCAUGAAGAACGAAGGCUACGAAUAGAGGAGCUAGACGAAUGGCAAGAACACAAACCGAGAACACAUGAUAAACCAAAACUACGAGAACACAAGCUCGAUACCUCUCCUAAUCUAUUUUAGGUUGGCGAUAAUGUCUUAUUAGAUGCUGUAGAUCCUUGCAUUGUCACUACCACACCGAAUGAGGAAAUCCCUUUUACGGUACUCAGUAUUUUUCCAUUCGAUACGGUAGAGGUGAGUCACCCCAAGUUCGGCACUUUCAAGGUAAACAACACCCCGAUUAAAACCCUAUUUUGAUAGCAGGAAUGAGGAAUAUAAAUUCCUCGAACCACCCUGACCAAUCACUAGAGAGGUAAGUCGAGCUUAGGCUAUAAAUAAGCACUUCUCGAGAGGCAACCAGAGCACUAACAUAUUUUGAUUUCUUUAUUUUUAAUUCCUAACACUUUAAAUCACUAACUUUAUGUUUGAAUUGCAAAUAUUUUCAGCACACAUGGCCAGGAACACGGGCAUGCCUAAGGCCGUGGCCAAAUAGGGGAAGAGACACGGUCGUGCGAGACAGUCGUGUUAAAGCAGGGCAUGAUUUCCCCAAAACACGGGUUGUGAUAAAUCCCCACGGUCGUGCGACAUGGCUGUGGGCGAACUUGAUAGGUGAACACGGGUGUGACAGCCCUAAAUUGACCCUAGUCAAAAAGUGGUUUCGAGACCACAAAACCGAGUCAUAAAAAUAAUUAACCGUUAUAUUUGAUGCUUAUUAUAUGUAUAUAGGCAUGUGUGAAAAUUUCAUGUUUGAAUUUUGUUAAUUGUAAGUGAAUUUUGCUAAAUAGGACUUGUGUGAGAAAAUUUAGAAAUGUGCUAGGCAAAUGUUAAAGUGGCCUAUUGAUGCAUGUUAGAAAAUGUUUGUCCUUGCAUGUCAAAUUACCCAAAACUUAGGAUGGUGAACGGCCAUGCUAUGGGUUAAAAUGUAUUAUAAACAUUUUAUGCUAGUGUUUUAUGUUAGGAAUAAUAAAAUAAAGAACAUGGGUAAUAAAAUAAUAGUGGUUAGUAGGAGGAGAAACAAAAAAAAUUAGCUAGGUUGCUCCUCCAUUGCCGUGAAUUGAAGGAAGAAAACAAAGAAAAAAAAAUGUUUAUCUUUUAACAUCCUUGGCCGAAAAUGCUAAGAAGAAGGGGGAAGGGGAAGUAAAAUAUUCGGCCACUCCUUCUAGUCUUGAAUAAGGUAUGUAAUUCAUGGUAGCCUUUGGAAUUGUUGAAUGUAUUAAGCUAGUUACUAAGUCCCUUAGUUAGCCCAUGUUCAAAUUUUGAAUCUUGUUGGUAACAUGAGCAAUCGGUCAUGAGAAAAUGUUCAAGAAAUGGUUGUUGUUCAUGUUAUUUGGAUGAGAAAUGGUGAGUUUUGUUGUUUCAUGUUAAAGUUAGGUGAAUGAUGAUAGAUGAGUGUUUGAACUAUAAAAAGAAUCAUAGGUGAGCAUUAGAUACUAAGGGAAAAGAAUCGGCUACCUUGUUAUGAGCUAGGGCCGAAUAUGGGUUUGGUUGUGUUUGAAUAUUACAUGCUUGGUAGAAUGGUGGAUGAAAGUGCCGAAUGUGGUCUUUGGUUUGGGCAUAAGGAAUAAUAGUAUGAAUAGAUUUCGGCUUUGGUAGUACCUAUGUAAUUAUAAUUAGUUCAUUUGAUGGUUUGGCAUGAGGUGAUAAGUAAAAGUUUAAAGGUAGCUUAAGUUAAUUGAUUAUAUGUGUGUAUGCUAUUAGAAAUUCAAGGAAUUCUCGGCAAAAAUGUGGUUAGGGGUUAAGUCAUGGGAGCUUGGGGGUAUUCAUAUGUGGACCUUAAGAUUUUGUACACUAUGACUAUGUGAGUUAGGUGUUAAAUAACUUAAUCAUGUGUAUGCAUGACCAAGUAUAAUCGGCCACAUGAGUAAAGAAAUGGGUUAAUUGAUAUGUGGUAAAUGUUAAGUGUUAAACGAAAUGGAAAUGAUAUCAUAUUGGAAUAUGUAUACUCGACCACAUGAAUGCAUACAUAGAUUGGUGUUGCAUGUAUUCGGCUAUAGGUAAGCAUAUUGAUGAUUCUAUCUUGACUUAGAUAAUCGGCUAAAGGAGAAUAUUAGCUAAUAUGUUGAAUUUGAUUCAUGAUUUCAUGCAUAUGACUCUAAUGUCCAAUAUAUAUAUGGACUAAGUACCUUGAAUUUCUCUCGAUGUUCAAGAUGAUUAAAUCAAUUUAUUUGUUAAAUUAAGCUCAAGAGCAAAGGGGAACUAAAUCCGAUAAAGGGAAGGAAAAAGUAAUUGAAUAGCCGUUGAAGUCGUUCGACAGCAUCCGAGGUAAGUUUUCGAGUAAUGGAACUUAGUUUAUGAUUUAAUUAAGUCAUGACAUAUCGCAUAACAAAUAAACGGAGAUAUAAUGAUUCAACUUGAAUUAUAUAUUGAGGUGACUAGUUUAUACUUGUGACGGGUAGCCGAAAAUGGUAAUGCUUGAUAAGUGACUUGUGUUUGAAUUCUAGUUAUGAAAAUGAAAUAUAGAUGCGUCAUGAUUUAUUGAUAUGUGCAUGAAUAUCCGGAUGAUAACCGGGCUAAGUCUCGAAGGCAUUUGUGCUAGUGACUAAUUCCGGGCUAAGUCCCGAAGGCAUUUGUGCGAGUUACUAUAUCCGGGCUAAGUCCCGAAGGCAUUUGUACGAGUUAGUAUAUCCAGGCUAGGUCCCGAAGGCAUUUGUGCGAGUUACUAUAACCGGGCUAAGUCCCGAAGGCAUUUGAGCGAGUAGCUAUAUCCGGCUAAAUCCCGAAGGUACUUGGUUUGGGAAUGAGCGAUCUUGCUGUAAAAAUUUCAAUUAAUACGCUCGUAAAAUCCCAACGAUGAGGUAUGUUUUGUAUAUGCAUUGGAAUAAUUGAUUCCUUUUAAAUAGUAUUCGCUCAAUCGAUUAACAAGCUUUCGACCUUUAGUCAAGUUAAUACCUUAUGUAUGAAUAUAAGGGCUGGAAAUGUGAAGUAGGUAUGAUUUUGAGAAUAUGUGUAUAUGAAACUAUUCGUUUAGCCAUAUGAAUGCUAUACUUCAGUUGUGCAUGAUUUCAUUACUCAAAACUUACUAAGCAUUAAAUGCUUAUUCCGUUUCUUUGAUUCUCUGUUUUAUAGAUUUUGGUUCGUCAGCUAUCGGACUCGGGAGUGUCAAAGUCGAAGUCAUCCACACUAUCAAAGCCCUUUUGGUACUCUUUUAGUUAAACUCUGAAAAUGGCAUGUAUAGGACUGCCCUUUUGUUGUUAGUCAAGUACCUUCGGUAAUGUAUAUAUUUGGAUAGCCAUGCGAAAAUGGCUUAUAUAUAUUUUGACCAUAGCGUUAUAAUCAUUUUGUAUGUUGUUCAUUGAGUGGUAUGGAAAUGUUGGUAAUGAUUAGCCAUUGGAAUGGUUAAUCACGAUAAUUUUGGUGCUAUGUAUGACAAAACUCUAGUUGAUCCAUGGAAAAUCAUGAAAUAGGUAUAGUCUACCUUAAAAACAGAUGCUGACAACAGUAGUGAUGUGAAUUUGAAAAAUCACUAAAAAUAGUAGGAAUAGAAUUAAAUAGCAAAUAAAUUAUGUAAUCGAAUAUUGAUGAGUCUAUUUUCAUAUGGAAGAAACAAAACAAUCUUAUGACCUGUAUUUUAAGGGAUGUUUAAGUUUUUGUGAAACAGGGCCAGAGCGAUUUCUAGAUCCUCUGUUCUGACUUUGGAAAUUCACUAUAAAUUAAACAGAGAUAAUUAGAAGUCAUGCCCUAUAUGUAAAGAUUCAUUUUCGAGUCUAGUUUCUUUAGAAACAAGCGGCAUAAGUAUUGAAGCCCUGUACAGGAAGAUAUCUAAGUCGUAAUACAUGAAGGUCAGAGUAGUCGAACCCUGUAAUAGGGGAGACUUUAACUAAUAAACUGUACUAAUUGGCUUGACUAAAAAUUCUAGAAAAAAAUUUGUAGACGGACAUAUGAGUCUAGUUUUAGGAAACAUUUACAGAACCGGUUUUUGAGUUUUGGACCUUGAGAUAUGAUUUUUAAGGUGACAGUGACGCAGUUAGCCAGCUUGUCUGGAAAUUUUAAAAUGGACUGUGCAAAUAAGUGAAUUAAGUCCGUUAACACCUCGUGUCCGACUCCGGCAACAGUCUCAGGUACGGGGUGUUACAACUUUAUUGGUAUCAGAGCUACGGUUUAGUCGAUUCUAGGACUACCGUAAUACGUUUGGGUCUAGCUAUACAUGCCAUUAUGUGUUUAUGUGAUAGUGUGGUGAUUUCUGACAGUUAAAAUGUGUUUCCUUAUAGAAAUGGAUCCCGAUCCCAACCGAACGGUAGCUGAUGAUCUUGAGAGUGUAGCGCCUGCUCCCGCACAAGGGACAGCACCGGCGGACUCUCAACCUAUUGCUAGUAAUAAGAAUGAUGAAGCUAGACAAGCUUUUUUAUAGCGUGAUGAAUGAUUGGUUCAACCAAUACAUUCGAACUAAUACGGCUGUUCCACAACCUCCAUUCCCGACUAAUACAACCACCGAACCUACAAUACCUCCGGUAACUGACCAAAUAAGGUCAAAUAAGCCCCCAGUUGAUAGAAUCCGAAAACAUGGGGCUACUGAAUUUAAAGCUACGGACAGCGAUGAUGCCGAGCAAGCUAAAUUUUGGUUGGACAACACUAUUCGGGUACUCGAUGAGCUAUCUUGCACACCCGAUGAGUGCCUAAAGUGUACUAUCUCCUUGCUACGUGAUUCUACCUACUAUUGGUGGAAUACGUUGAUUUCUGUUGUGCCCAGAGAGCAAGUAACUUGGGAGUUUUUCCAAACCGAGUUUCAGAAAAAGUAUAUCAGUCAGAGAUUCAUUGAUCAAAAACGGAAGGAAUUUCUUGAACUUAAAUAAGGUUCCAUGUCGGUUACUGAUUAUGAACGAAAGUUUGUAAGACUUAGCCGGUACGCUCGAGAAUGCAUUUCUUCAGAAGCUGUGAUGUGUAAACAUUUUGAGGAUGGACUGAACGAUGAUAUAAAGCUGUAUGUUGGCAUUUUAGAAAUCCGAGAAUUUGUGGUACUUGUUGAGCGAGCUUGCAAAGCCGAGGAGCUCAGUAAGGAGAAAAGAAAAGCUGAUAUGGGAGCAAAGGAGUUUCGUAAGAGAUCUUCGGGAAAGCCCUUUCAACAGUCAUCGAAGAAAUUUAGAGAUGAUUUAGGUCGAUCUAGAGACACUUCGGGCUUUUCUAGACGAGAUCGUGAUCGACCCCCUGUGAGUACACGAGUCACUUCGGUUGCCAGUGUUGGAAAUGAUCGUCGAGACAGAACAGAGUGCCAGUAUUGUGGUAAAUGGCAUUCGGGGAGUUGUAGAUUCCAUGACCGCUCCUGUUAUAAGUGCGGAUCAGCUGACCAUUUUAUCAAGGAUUGCCCGAGACUGUCUGUACAAAAUGUAAAUCAGAGUGGGAAACCAGGUGCUACUACUGCAUGGGGUAGACCAUCUAGAAAUACGGGGAAUGCUAGUGGCGGUCAGAGAGGAUCUAGAGAUGCUACAACCAGAUCUGAGGCUCGUGCUCCUGCUAGAGCUUAUGCUAUACGCGCACGCGAGGAUGCUUCCUCGCCAGAUGUUAUUACCGGUACUUUCACUCUCUUUGAUACUAAUGUGAUUGCAUUGAUUGACCCUGGUUCUACUCAUUCAUAUGUAUGUGAGACUUUAGCAUCCAGUAAGACUUUACCUGUUGAGUCUACUGAGUUCGUAGUUCAGGUGUCAAAUCCCUUGGGUCGUUAUGUACUGGUUGACAAAGUGUGUAAGAAAUGUCCCCUAGUAAUCAGAGGUUCCUAUUUUCCGGCCGAUUUGAUGCUUUUACCGUUUCAUGAAUUUGAUGUUAUUCUCGGUUUGGAUUGGUUGACCGUAUAUGAUGCAGUUGUGAAUUGCAAAAGUAAGACUAUUGAUUUGAGGUGUGCGAAUAAUGAAAUAAUCCGAGUUGAAGCUACUGUUUUGAAUGGAUUGCCAACAAUAAUAUCCUCGAUGUUAGCUCAAAAAAAUGUGAGAAAGGGCUGUGAAGCGUAUCUUGCAUACGUACUUGAUAAUAAAGAAUCAGAAAAGAAGCUUGAAUCAGUACCAGUGGUUUGUGAAUAUCCGGAUGUUUUUCCCGAAGAAUUACCGGGGUUACCACCUGUUAGGGAGGUAGAGUUUGGCAUUGAACUUGUACCUGGGACUACAUCAAUUUCGAUAGCUCCGUAUCGUAUGGUACUAACGGAAUUAAAGGAAUUGAAAGCUCAGUUGCAAGAGUUGAUGGAUAGAGGUUUCGCUCGACCAAGUUUCUCACCUUGGGGUGCACCAGUAUUAUUUGUGAAAAAAAAGGACGGAACCAUGAGGUUGUGCAUCGACUAUCGUCAGCUGAAUAAAGUGACAAUAAAGAAUAAAUAUCCGUUACCGCGUAUUGAUGAUUAGUUUGAUCAACUAAAGGGAGCCUCGGUGUUUUCAAAGAUAAAUUUGAGAUCGGGUUAUUAUCAGUUGCGAAUUCGAGAUUCAGACAUACCCAAAACUGCUUUCAGAACGAGAUAUGGUCACUACGAAUUCUUAGUGAUGCCGUUUGGGCUCACUAAUGCCCCCGCGGUAUUUAUGGAUUUGAUGAAUCGGAUCUUCAGACCGUAUUUAGAUCGGUUUGUAGUUGUGUUUAUCGAUGAUAUUUUGGUCUAUUCGAGAAAUGAAACCGAUCAUGCUGAACACCUGGGAUUAGUGUUGCAAAUUUUACGGGAUAAGCAGUUGUAUGCUAAGUUCAGUAAGUGUGAGUUCUGGUUAAGAGAGGUUAGCUUCUUAGGACAUGUGGUAUCUGGAUCGGGUAUUCGAGUUGAUCCGAGCAAAAUUUUAGCCAUACUUAACUGGAAGCCUCCGAGAAAUAUUACUGAAGUUCAGAGCUUUUUGGGGCUUGCCGGUUACUACAGGCGCUUUGUAAAGGGUUUCUCGAUGAUAGCCACACCAAUAACGAAACUAAUUCAGAAAGAUGUUAAGUUUGAAUGGACAGAAAAGUGCUAGAAAAGUUUUGAUCAACUGAAAAUUUAUUUGACUGAAGCUCCAGUACUAGUGCAGCCCGAAUCAGGCAAAGAGUUUGUCAUUUAUAGUGAUGCAUCCCUACUUGGGUUGGGUUGCGUAUUGAUGCAAGAGGGUCGAGUUGUGGCUUAUGCGUCGAGACAACUGAAGCCACAUGAGAAAAAUUAUCCGACCCAUGAUCUCGAACUAGCUGCCAUCGGGUUCGCUUUGAAAAUAUGGCGACAUUACUUAUUUGGUGAGAAGUGCCAUGUAUAUUCGGAUCACAAAAGUCUCAAAUAUUUGAUGACUCAAAGAGACUUGAAUCUGCGACAAAGACGUUGGCUCGAGUUGUUAAAAGAUUAUGAGCUUGUCAUUGACUAUCACCCGGAAAAGGCUAAUGUGGUUGCGGAUGCUUUAAGUCGUAAAUCACUAUUUACUUUACGAGCGAUGAAUGUACACUUGUCUGUUCUAUCCGACAAUGUGUUAGUAGCAGAAUUAAAGGCCAAACCAUUGUUGAUUCAUCAAAUUCAUGAAGCUCAGAAAGUCGAUGAUGAAUUGGUCGCAAGACGGGCUGAAUGUGUUUCGAAUAUGGAAUCAGAGUUUCAAAUUGAUGAUGACGAUUGUUUGAGGUUCAGAAGUCGUUUGUGUGUUCCAAGAAAUUCAGAACUUAUUUCGAUGAUUCUGAACAAAACUCAUUGUAGCCGAAUGUCAAUUCACCCGGGGAGUACGAAAAUGUUCAACGAUCUGAGACGUCAGUUUUGGUGGCAUGGUAUGAAACGAGACAUUUUCGAUUUUGUUUCGAAGUGUUUAAUAUGUCAGCAAGUGAAGGCGGAACAUCAAGUGCCUACGGGUUUACUUCAGCCGAUCAUGAUACCUGAAUGGAAAUGGGAUCGAGUCACGAUGGAUUUUGUAUCUGGGUUGCCAGUAUCGGCAAGUAAGAAAGAUGCGAUUUGGGUUGUUGUUGAUAGACUGACUAAGUCGGCUCACUUUAUCCCUGUACGUACGGAUUUUUCAUUGGAUAAACUAGCUGAAUUGUAUGUUUCUCAGAUUGUGAGAUUACACGGGGUACCUAUUUCUAUUGUGUCGAACAGAGAUCCGAGAUUCACCUCGCGAUUUUGGAAGAAAUUGCAAGAAGCUUUGGGUACCAAGCCGUAGUUUAGCACUGCUUUUCAUCCCCAAACCGAUGGUCAAUCCGAGCGGAUAAUUUAGAUACUCGAGGAUAUGUUGAGAUGUUGCAUCUUUGAGUUUAGUGGUUCAUGGGAACGGUAUUUACCUUUGAUUGAAUUCGCUUACAACAAUAUUUUUCAAUCAAGUAUUAAGAUGGCACCUUACGAGGCUUUGUACGGUCGUAAAUGCCGUACACCAUUGUUUUGGGCCGAGCUCUGUGAAAGUAAAAUUUUCAGAGUUGAUUUGAUUAAAGAUGCUGAGCAGAAAGUAAAAAUAAUUCGUGAAAGUCUGGAGGCAGCAUCCGAUCGUCAGAAGUCGUACGCAGAUUUAAAACGAAGAGAUAUUGAGUAUCAGGUGGGAGACAAAGUGUUUCUUAAGGUUUCACCUUGGAAAAAGGUACUCAGAUUUGGCCGUAAGGGAAAACUGAGUCCGAGAUUCAUUGGGCUGUAUGAAAUCUCCGAACGAGUUGGUCCAGUUGCAUAUAGGUUGCUUUUACCCCCUGAACUUGAAAGGAUUCACAACGUUUUUCAUGUUUCGAUGCUUCGACGUUACAGAUCUGAUCCUUCGCACAUAAUUAGUCCAUCAGAGGUUGAAAUUCAAUCUGACUUGAGUUAUGAAGAAGAACCGAUUCGUAUCCUAGCUCGUGAAGUGAAAGAGUUGCGAAACAACAGGGUUCCGUUAGUAAAGGUGUUAUGGCUCAAACACGGAAUCGAAGAAGCUACUUGGGAAACCGAGAACUCUAUGAAAGAAUGAUACACAAACCUAUUUACCGGUAAGAUUUUUGGGGACGAAAAUUUCUUAAGUGGGGGAGAGUUGUGACAGCCCUAAAUUCACCCUAGUCAGAAAGUGGUUUCGGGACCAUAAAAUCGAGUCAUAAAAAUAAUUAACCAUUAUAUUUGAUGCUUAUUAUAUGUAUAUAGGCAUGUGUGAAAAUUUCAUGUUUGAAUUUUGUUAAUUGUAAGUGAAUUUUGCUAAAUAGGACUUGUGUGAGAAAAUUUAGAAAUGUGCUAGGCAAAUGUUAAAGUGGCCUAUUGAUGCAUGUUAGAAAAUGUUUGUCCUUGCAUGUCAAAUUACCCAAAACUUAGGAUGGUGGCCGGCCAUGCUAUGGGUUAAAAUGUAUUAUAAACAUUUUAUGUUAGUGUUUUAUGUUAGGAAUAAUAAAAUAAAGAACAUGGGUAAUAAAAUAAUAGUGGUUAGUAGGAGGAGAAACAAAAAAAUUAGCUAGGUUGCUCCUCCAUUGCCGUGAAUUGAAGGAAGAAAACAAAGAAAAAAAUGUUCAUCUUUUAACAUCCUUGGCCGAAAAUUCUAAGAAGAAAGGGGAAGGGGAAGUAAAAUAUUCGGCCACUCCUUCUAGUCUUGAAUAAGGUAUGUAAUUCAUGGUAGCCUUUGGAAUUGUUGAAUGUAUUAAGCUAGUUACUAAGUCCCUUAGUUAGCCCAUGUUCAAAUUUUGAAUCUUGUUGGUAACAUGAGCAAUCGGUCAUGAGAAAAUGUUCAAGAAAUGGUUGUUGUUCAUGUUAUUUGGAUGAGAAAUGGUGAGUUUUGUUGUUUCAUGUUAAAGUUAGGUGAAUGAUGAUAGAUGAGUGUUUGAACUAUAAAAAGAAUCAUAGGUGAGCAUUAGAUACUAAGGGAAAAGAAUCGACUACCUUGUUAUGAGCUAGGGCCGAUUGUGGGUUUGGUUUUGUUUGAAUAUUACAUGCUUGGUAGAAUGGUGGAUGAAAGUGCCGAAUGUGGUCUUUGGUUUGGGUAUAAGGGAUAAUAGUAUGAAUAGGUUUCGGCUUUGGUAGUACCUAUGUAAUUAUAAUUAGUUCAUUUGAUGGUUUGGCAUAAGGUGAUAAGUAAAAGUUUAAAGGUAGCUUAAGUUAAUUGAUUAUAUGUGUGUAUGCUAUUAGAAAUUCAAGGAAUUCUCGGCAGAAAUGUGGUUAGGGGUUAAGUCAUGGGAACUUGGGGGUAUUCAUAUGUGGACCUUAAGAUUUUGUACACUAUGCUAUGUGAGUUAGGUGUUAAAUAACUUAAUCAUGUGUAUGCAUGACCAAGUCUAAUCGGCCACAUGAGUAAAGAAAUGGGUUAAUUGAUAUGUGGUAAAUGUUAAGUGUUAAACGAAAUGGAAAUGAUAUCAUAUUGGAAUAUGUAUACUCGACCACAUGAAUGCAUACAUAGAUUGGUGUUGCAUGUAUUCGGCUAUAGGUAAGCAUAUUGAUGAUUCUAUCUUGACUUAGAUAAUCGGCUAAAGGAGAAUAUUAGCUAAUAUGUUGAAUUUGAUUCAUGAUUUCAUGCAUAUGACUCUAAUGUCCAAUAUGUAUAUGGACUAAGUACCUUGAAUUUCUCUCGAUGUUCAAGAUGAUUAAAUCAAUUUAUUUGUUAAAUUAAGCUCAAGAGCAAAGGGGAACUAAAUCCGAUAAAGGGAAGGAAAAAGUAAUUGAAUAGCCGUUGAAGUCGUUCGACAGCAUCCGAGGUAAGUUUUCGAGUAAUGGAACUUAGUUUAUGAUUUGAUUAAGUCAUGACAUAUAGCAUAACAAAUAAAUGGAGAUAUAAUGAUUCAACUUGAAUUAUAUAUUGAGGUGACUAGUUUAUACUUGUGACGGGUAGCUGAAAAUGGUAAUGCUUGAUAAGUUACUUGUGUUUGAAUUCUAGUUAUGAAAAUGAAAUAUAGAUGCGUCAUGAUUUAUUGAUAUGUGCAUGAAUAUCCGGAUGAUAACCGGGCUAAGUCCCGAAGGCAUUUGUGCUAGUCACUAAUUCCGGGCUAAGUCCCGAAGGCAUUUGUACGAGUUACAAUAUCUGGGCUAAGUCCCGAAGGCAUUUGUGCGAGUUACUAUAUCCGGGCUAGGUCCCGAAGGCAUUUGUGCGAGUUACUAAAACUGGGCUAAGUCCCGAAGGCAUUUGAGCGAGUAGCUAUAUCCGGCUAAAUCUCGAAGGUACUUGGUUUGGGAAUGAGCGAUCUUGCUGUAAAAAUUUCAAUUAAUACGCUCGUAAAAUCCCAACGAUGAGGUAUGUUUUGUAUAUGCAUUGGAAUAAUUGAUUCCUUUUAAAUAGUAUUCGCUCAAUCGAUUAACAAGCUUCCGGCCUUUAGUCAAGUUAAUACCUUAUGUAUGAAUAUAAGGGUUGGAAAUGUGAAGUAGGUAUGAUUUUGAGAAUAUGUGUAUAUGAAACUAUUCGUUUAGUCAUAUGAAUGCUAUACUUCAGUUGUGCAUGAUUUCAUUACUCAAAACUUACUAAGCAUUAAAUGCUUAUUCCGUUUCUUUGAUUCUCUGUUUUAUAGAUUUUGGUUCGUCAGCUAUCGGACUCGGGAGUGUCAAAGUCGAAGUCAUCCACACUAUCAAAGCCCUUUUGGUACUCUUUUAGUUGAACUCUGAAAAUGGCAUGUAUAGGACUGCCCUUUUGUUGUUAGUCAAGUACCUUCGGUAAUGUAUAUAUUUGGAUAGCCAUGCGAAAAUGGCUUAUAUAUAUUUUGACCAUAGCGUUAUAAUCAUUUUGUAUGUUGUUCAUUGAGUGGUAUGGAAAUGUUGGUAACGAUUAGCCAUUGGAAUGGUUAAUCACGAUAAUUUUGGUGCUAUGUAUGACAAAACUCUAGUUGAUCCAUGGAAAAUCAUGAAAUAGGUAUAGUCUACCUUAAAAACAGAUGCUGACAGCAGCAGUGAUGUGAAUUUGAAAAAUAACUAAAAAUAGUAGGAAUGGAAUUAAAUAUCAAAUAAAUUAUGUAAUCGAAUCUUGAUGAGUAUAUCUUCAUAUGGAAGAAACGAAACGAUCAUAUGAGCCGUAUUUUAAGGGAUGUUUAAGUUUUCCUAAAACAGGGCCAGAGCGAUUUUUGGAUCCCCUAUUCUGACUUUGGAAAUUCACUAUAAAUUAACCAGAGAUAAUUAGAAGUCAUGCCCUAUAUGUACAGAUUCCUUUUCGAGUUUAGUUUCUUUAGAAAUAAACGGUAUAAGUAUUGAAGCCCUGUACAGGAAGAUAUCUAAGUCGUAAUACAUGAAGGUCAGAGUAGUCGAACCCUGUAACAGGGGAGACUUUAACUAAUAACCUGUACUAAUUGGCUUGACUAAAAAUUCUAGAAAAAAAUUUGUAGACGGACAUAUGAGUCUAGUUUCAGGAAAAAUUUACGGAACCGGUUUUUGAGUUUUUGAACUUGAGAUAUGAUUUUUAAGGUGACAGUGACGCAGUUAGCCAGCCUGUCUGGAAAUUUUAAAAUGGACUGUGCAAAUAAGUGAAUUAAGUCUGUUAACACCUCGUGUCCGACUCCGGCAAUGGUCUCGGGUACAGGGUGUUACAACAGGCGUGGGAAUAAAACAACAUGGGCAUGCCAGGGACAAGACCCGAUUCUGUUUCUUUGACACAGGCGUGCGACACGCCCAUGCCAUUAAGCCGUGGACAACAAUACACGAGCGUGGUAUCCUAACACACGGGCGUGUGCUCCGACCGUGCUACUUGAAAAAUUGGAAUAAUUAUCUUAUUUUAUUUUCCUUUAUUACAUUCUUAAGAUUCAUUUGGUUUCCUUUUCAAAAAAAAAAAAACAACGGCUUACCUUUAGAAUCCAGCUUGCCAUCCAAAGUAUCUCUAAUGCUCGAUCUCGCCAAUCCAAGGAUAUCAUCCAUUCUUAAUACAGGAAGUUUCACUUCUCUCCCUAUCUUAUUUUUAUACUCUAACAUCUAUCUUUCUACAUUGAGGGCAAUGUACAUCUUAAGUGUGGGGGGUAUUUAUUUCAUUAUCAGAAAAAUCCCUGAAUAGUCAUCUUGUUCUCUUGAAAAACUCUCAUAUCAUAUUUAGGAUAAAUUUUAAUUGAUUUAUGAUUUUGAUUGAUAUAUCUUGAAUUAAAACAUAGGCAUUUAUGCAUUGAUUGUUUAAACUUUAAGACAAUAGAGAAUCAAGCAUGAUGAGUUGAUUUUUAAGAAUUCAAAAUCUUAGGCUGUUUCCCCAAGUCUAGGUAUUACUUUGAAUUGGAAUUCACGAGUCUAAACAUUAAAAAGCAAUAAUUUUUGUGAGAUUUUUGAGCCUUUUGAGCAUAUAUUCAUCCUUUCAUGCUCACUUUUAUUAUUGCUUUGAGUUUGUUAGUAUUGAACUGUUAUUCUAAAACUUGCUUGAUUAUGCAUGUCAAGACCAAACCAUUUGAUUUGAUAUAUCAAAAUGAUUAAGGCACUUAGGAUUAACCCACUCAUGCCAUGAAAAGCCUACCUCCAUGAUUAACCCCUAGUAAACCCCCUUGAGCCCAAUUCUUGUAUUACCCUUAAUAUUAACCUUUAACCCAUUAUGAAAUCCCCUAAAUUAAUCACUAUUUUUGUCGAGAUUUGAGUUGAAUGGAUUGCCUAGCUAUGUUUUGUUCUUGAUAUUUAGUCUAUAUCAUUUAACUUGUUAUUAAAAAAAAACACAAAAAACACAACUAUGUAUGCAUAUCUGUUAUUUUAUAUUCUGAGAGAAGCUCUGUUGUAUGCAAGUGAAAGUUAAUGCUUUUUCUAGUUAGGCAAUUUUUCAAUUCAAUCUCAAUUCUAACCCUUUCUUUCAGCUUGUGACCACACCCCCUAACCAAACCUCAUUACAACCCUCGAAAGACCUUUUGAUUGAUGUAUCAUCUUAAAUUAUAGUGGUAGAGAUUUGAUUUUCAUGCAAGCCUAUGGUAAGGACUUUUCAUUAUUGACUAUUGAGUGCUUCAUUUAUUAUCCUUAAACACCUCGAGUGAUUUGAGUGAAUCUGUAGUAAGGAUGUGAAACUCUAUGAUAUUCUGAAUCAAAGGUAAUUACUUAGAUGAGGGGAGACACCUAUGUUUGCAUGAAUAAAAUACUCAACUUGGAAUGAUUGAAGCUUUUAUGUUCUUUUAGUUGAAUUUCCAAUGUAUGAUUACCUAUGGAUUAUUUUGAGAUAUUAUCGAUAAGAAUUAUAAGUUGAGGAGAAUUUAUUUAGAGUACGAUUUGAGAAUUUUGCUUGAGGACAAGCAAAAGCUUAAGUGUGGUGGUAUUUGAUAAACCAUAAAUUAUACAUAUUUUUACCCCAUGUUUAAUGCAUUUUAUGGAUGAUUUCUCAUUAGAAUUAGUGAAUUUGAUACUCCUAAUGCAUUAAUGUCAUGUUUUAUACUUAGAAGAGCAUAGGAGAGUGAAAGGAAUGAGAAACGGGCUAAAAACAGAGAAAAUGGACCAAGGUACAAAAUCAACAUGGCUUGGACCUCCUCACACGGACAGACCGCACGGUCGUGUCAAUUUGGUAGGCUCGAACACGGCCUGAAGUAAUCGAACACGGGCGUGCGCCACGGGCGUGUCCCUGCCGAGCCCAGGUUGAGUCCAAUUCGGAAAAGGCCAAUUUUGAGGGUUUCUAGGCAUUCCAAAGCCUAUAAAUACGUACUAGAGGUGGAGGAAAAGGGGGACGGAGAAGAGGGGUAAGGAAUUACCCUAAGGAAGCCGAUUGAUCCAUCUUAGAAGCCGGAUUCAUCAUCAAGACUUAAGAUCUCUCAUUAAUUUCUCUUCAGGAGUUUUUGGUUUUCUUUAUGUUUUGUGUUCUUUAUUCUUCUGAGAUGUUUUCUUAUUUAGUGAUGAAUUAAAUCCCCUAAAUACCUAAGGGGAAUGAAACUUAAGGCAAAUCUUGUUAUUAUUUUCUGAAUCGUAUGAUAAAUAUUUAACUUGUUCUUAAUUAUGUGUUCUUAAUUCUUAUUUUGGUAUCCCAGGAUACUAAUUCAAGACAUGCUCUUAUUCAGAGGAGGAAUAGACCCUGUCUAAGAGUACAUUUGUCAUAAUUAAGCGGAGUUGAUUGCGCGCAUAGAAAUAGGGUGACAAGAUUUUGCCAGAUUAGGGUGAAACCUAAUAAGGGGAUCAAUGGAUAUAGUUAAUGUAACCCUAAAGUGUUAAUUAGAGAAAAGUCUCGGUUAUUCAAUCUAGGGAUUAGACGUUAUUAGUCUUUAAUAGGGAUAAUAACAUAACUUAGGGAUCUCUAUGGAACAAGUUGAAUGAAAAAAUCGUCCAAUUCGGAGCCAGAAUAACAAGUAAAGUCUAGGUGGAUUUUUCCUUAAGUAUUGUCUUAAGUCAAUCGAUUUUCCCAAAAGAAAUUCCCCAAUUAUUUUCUCUGUGCGUUCUUAGUUUAAAUAAUUAGUUAAUUAAAAAAAACCCCUUUUAUUCUUAGGUUAGAUAAUAAAAAGAUAAUUAUUACUAGUACUUUUGGUUACCUUCGGUACGAUAUAUCGGUCUUGCCGUUACUAUACUAUUAUUCGAUAGGUGCGCUUGCCUUUUUGUCGUGAUAAUAGUUAGUCUAGGUCUGAUCUUCAUUAUAAAUAUUUAUUACUUGUUACAAAUCACUGCGAUCAGUACUUUUUCUCUUUUUGAUACUGAUAUAGUUGCAUUGAUAGAUCCUGGAUCAACCCAUUUGAUAAACCGUAAUUUAUACAUAUUUUUACUCCAUGCGUAAUGCAUUUAUGGAUGGUUUCUCCUUAGAUUUGGUAAAUUUGAUGCUCCUAAUCAUUGAAUUUCAUGUUUUAUUCUUAGGAGAGCAUAGGAGAGUAAAAAGAGCGAGAAACGGGCCAAAAACAAAGAAAAUGGACCCACAUGGGAAAACAACACAACCUGGACUUCCUCACACGGGUGUGUCACACGGUUGUGUCAAUUUGGCAGGAUCGAAGCCUGACUUACAUGGGUGGAUCAUAUGCCCGUGCCCAUUUAACAGCCUUGAACACAACCUUCAUAAUCGCACAUAGGCGUGUCCCUGCUGAACCCAAGUUUAGUCCAAUUCGAAAAAGGCCAAUUUUGAGGGCUUUUAGGCAUUCCAAAGCCUAUUUAAACACUUGAGGAGGCACUUACGAAAGGGGAUGCAGAGUAGGAAACAAGGAAUUACUCAAGGAAAGUCGAUUGAUCUAUCUCAAGAGCUGGAUUCAUCAUCAAGACUGGAGAUCUCCCUUCAAGUUCCUUCAGGAGUUUUGGGUUUUCUUAUGUUUUGUUAUAUUUAUGCUUAUUGAGAUGUUUUCUUACAUAAGUAUGAACUAAACCCCUAAAUACCUAAGGGAAAUGAAACCUAAGACAAACCUUGUUAUUAUUAUCUGAAUUGUAUGAUAAAUAUUUGACUUAUUCUUAAUUAUGUGUUCUUAAUUCUUGUUUUGAUAUUCCAGGAUAUUGAUUCAAGUUAAGCUCUUAUCCAGAGGAGGAAUAGACCCUGUCGAAGAGUAAAUUUGUCAUAAUUAAGUGGAGUUGAUUGUGCGCCUAGAGAUAGGGUGACAAGAUUUUGUCGGAUUAGGGUGAAACCUAAUAAGGGAAUCCAUAGAUUAAGUUAAUACAAUUCUAGGGUGUUAAUUAGAAGGAGAUUUCAAUUAUUCAACCUGGGGUUAGACGUUAUUAGUCUCAAGAGAGAUAAUAAUAUAACUUAGGGAUUUCUACGGAUCAAGUCAAAUGAAUAAAUCGUCUGAUUCAGACUGAAAUAACAAAGUGAAGUCUAGGUAGAUUUGUCCUUAGGUAUUGUUUUAGUCAAUUGAAUUUUCCCAAGUUUUUCUUUCUGUGCAUUCUUAGUUAGCAAUUUGUUUAGACAAUCAAACCUCUUAAAUAUUAGGCUAGAUAAUAAAAAGGAAGUAAAUACUAGUACUCGUAGUUCCUUUGGGUUCGAAAAUCUGGUCUUGCUGAACUAUACUACUGUUCAAUAGGAACACUUGCCUUAAUCGUGAUAAUAAGUUAGUCUCAAGAACGUUUCAUUUAUAAAUUUUUAAAACCUGUUACGAAUAUCACGCAUGAUGUUUUUGGCACCGUUGCCGGGGAACUAGGAUAUUAGGAAAACUCGAUUUUUAUUACUUUAGCCACUUUACUUUUAUUACAAUUUAAAAUUUUAUUUUCUUUUCUAAUUUUUAUCUUAUUUCCUUCUGACAAGUUUUUCUAGUUUAUGACCAGAAGAAACCCAUCAAGACCAUUACAUUUUGACCGUGAGAUCGACCGAAUAGUUUGCAAAAAUCGGAGAGAAAUAAGGCGAAGUCUAAGAUACACAAAGGAUGAGCAAGAGGAUAACACUUCAACCACAACUGAGGAGAUGGUUGAAAACCAAGAAAAUCUGCUACCUCCUGCGAUUGCUGUUAAUCAGAAUCGUGCUCCGUGCACUAUGUAUGAUUAUGCUAAACCUUCUUUAAUAGGAACUGAAUCGAGCAUAGUUAGACCGGCUGUAGCUACAAAUACUUUUGAACUGAAACCUAACACAAUAAUGAUACAACAGUUUGUUUAGUUUGAUGGUUUGCAGGACGAGGAUCCCAACGCUCACUUGGCAAACUUUUUGGAACUAUGUGAUAGAUUUAAAAUUAAUGGCGUUUCUGAUGACGCCAUUCGCCUUCAGUUGUUUCCAUUUUCGUUAAGGAAUAAGGCUAAACUUUGGUUGAACUCGUUGCCACGGUGGUCAAUCACUACUUGGGAACAAAUGACUAAAAAGUUUUUAUUAAAAUAUUUCUCGCCGGCUAAAACGGCUAAAUUACGUAAUGAUAUCUCUUCAUUUGUGCAGAUGGAUUUAGAAACACUCUACGAUGCAUGAGAGAGAUACAAGGACCUCUUGAGAAGGUGCCCUCACCAUGGGUUACCGCUUUCGCUACAGGUUCAAACGUUUCAUAAUGGCCUGAAUCCUUUGACUUAGCAGAUGAUGGAUGCAGCCGCUGGAGGAACUAUCAAUAAUAAGACACCUGAGGCGGCUUUUGAAUUUAUUGAGGAUAUGUCACUAAAUAACUAUCAAUGGCAAGUUAUGAGAACAAAGCCGGCAAUAGCAGCUGGUGUUUUCAACCUUGACGCGGUUACUAUGCUAUCUAACCAAGUAGAACUCUUAAAAAAAAGAUUGACGGUUUGUGUGGUUCUAGUCAGGUACAUCCAUUGCUGAGGUGCGAUUUGAAUGGAGGAAGAGCACGUAUAGAAUAUCAACCUUUCAAUCCUAGCAUCGAGGAGGAACAAGUCCAAUAUAUGGGUAACAAUAACUCUAGACCCUAAAAUAACUCGUAUAGUAACACUUAUAAUGCAGGUUGGAGGAACCAUCCCAAUUUUUGUGGGGCGGUCAAGGAAAUCAAAGGCCACAACAUCCUCCGAGUUUUCAACAACCACCAUACCAGUAGGAAAAGAAGUCAUUGCUCCUUUGGCACAACUCGAUUCAUUUAGUAGAUUUUUUUUAGGCUUUAUAGACCGGUCCUGAGGUCUUAUCCGGUGAGUUAGUCUGUCCUUCGUUUGUUGUACUUGGAGUUAGCUUCUUUCCAUGGGUCUUACCUUAGGUAGACUUAUCUAAACAAAUACAUGCAUGGCAGUUAAACAAGAGCUAAGAGUGAGAUUCCUUCAGUUGCGUACUCGAGAGUAUUAGUGACAUAAUGGCUCACAA
rnacentral:lncRNA from 1 species